rnacentral:lncRNA from 10 species
GCUCCCAGUCCCCAAAGUGUGUAUGUUUAGACCGGGCGAGGAUCCUGAAUCAAGGUCCGGGCCUCUUUCCUCGGAAGAACAGACCGACCGAUGGUCUUCUGGGCACCCAGAGGAGCAGUCAAGCGCGGUGCUUGCUGAGAGCUUGGCCUCCGUGGGUGCCAUUUAAUCUGCGGUUGGGAGAGGUUGUGAGCGAGUAUCUCCCCACUUUAACACCCUACACCACACCGCGCCCGGCCACAAGACAGCUUUACAACAUACACAACCCUGACGAGGAAACGUGUUCAAAACCAAUCACUGCGCUCAUCAUAAAGGUGAGGAACUUGGGGCUCAGUGAGAUGGAGUGACUUUGACCUGCCUGAUGUUCCACAGCCAGCAGGUAGGAAAACGAGGGGUUUCACAUGUGUGCCCUGAGUCCACACAGCCAGGUACCAGGCUUGGUGCCAAGAAUAGAACCACAAGCUGGACAGACAACGUUCGUACCCUCAUGAAGCAUAUGUUUUAGGACAGACAGGCAACAAACAAGGAAAUAAGUGACUCCACUGAAUAAUUACAGACUGUGUAGGUGUCAGCAAAGGGAGACACAGAGUUCAAUGACCCAGAACGCAGAGCACUCUGGCUUAGGUGGGAGGUCAGCGGAGACCCCAGCAGGAGAGUCACGUCCUCUCUCGCUAGCCACCUGUCCCUUGCUAUCCACCUCCACCUGUUCAAGGGCUGCCCACUCAUCUGUGCUCGGGAUGCCAGCAUUAGCAAAGCAUCUCAGCUUCAUUGUGGGCAAGUAGCCUUGGUAUAGAUGAUGAGCUCAGGGGACUGAGGCCUAGAGGUAGAGAGGUUGUAGGGGUAUUUGUGGGGUCAGUCAUCUAGGGACGAAAUGGGUCCUUAAAGAGAAAACCAGGGGAUGGGCGCAGUGGCUCAUGCCUGUAAUCCCAACACUUUGGAAGGCCAAGGUAGGCAGAUUGCC